GCUCUCCUGCCGUGUUCGACGGCCCCCGGGUACCAUUGAGCCUAAUUACCAACCCCGGGGUCAUAAAGCGUUAGUGGUGAGCAUGUCCGCCCUGGCUGCGGAAAGCCUAAGCUGAUGUGGUUGUCCCCACUUGAGCUUUGCUCAAGGUCUAAGGCGGCCGACGGCACAGGCGGGAGUUGC
rnacentral:other from 1 species